AACGUUCAUCCCACUGGGACGGAAGUAAGCAUAAGCUGAAGGAACGCUUC
ncrna:unclassified sequences Glutamine riboswitch